CUCGGGAUCUGAACCAGCCAACCCCGGGCCGCCGAGAAGCAGAACGUGCAACUUUUAACCGCUGCGUCACCGGGUGGCCCCUCCAAGCAAGUUUUGAUUGAAAGGAAGAGGGAGGCGGUGGAUUUGAGCUGGGCCCUGCGGGGGGGAGAGGGAGUGGCUUAAAGAGGACAUGUUUACGUGAAACACCCAGACCAAGGCACAAAGGAGAACAAAACAACAUUCUUGGAUCAAAAUGCACAGUUUCUCUCUUGAGCCAACAAUGAAAACUACUGCCCCAAACAAAAUCUAUGCGUGCCCACACAGCUGUGAGAGGAGCCGUGUUGCUUUGACAAUGGAGAUGGUAGCGACAGCCCUGCCAUCUGCCCCCUGACUGGCCCGAACCCCCUGCAGGUGCUGAGAAGGAGGGCUUGGUCUGGGGAGCUUCAGAGCACUGAUGCCUAGAACGGGCCCGGAGAGCCAGGCUCUGCUUAGACCCAGAGCGGAAGAGCUCCUCUUUCAAGACGUGAUGAGAGCCUGGAAGCUGACUUUGAUUUGGUUUUUAUAAAAUGGUCAAAUCAAAGCUAAACAAGCACAAAUGAGCUUACCCUAGGACUCAAGGAAUGAGCAAGCUAGAGAGAGGUGAAACCAAUGGCUGGGAGGGUCAGGGGUCAUCUGAGACGCCUGAGUAGGCGACAGUCCAAGGCCGUGGUUAUUGCACGUCCGCCCAGUGUGAGGCUCUGUGCUAGACAGAGGGAAGAUGCAAAGGUGACCGAGGCCAAGUGUCUGCUCUCAAGUGAAGAAGCCACAGUUGCGGGUCCUCAGAGGUCACCUCUUCAAGGAUCCCUUCUCUGACACACACACACCUGUCCCAUUCAGGAAUAGGUGUCUUAUCUGGGGCCCCAGAGCUCUGUGUGUUUACACUGAUCGCCUUACCGACCACACUGAAUUGUCGUUUGCUAACUUAUCUGUCUCCCGUGCUCUCUCCGGUGCUGGUGUGUCAUCGCUUGCAUCAAUGUUUUGAAAAAAUUGAUUGUCCAGUGAAAUGGGGUGAAGGAACUUAUAUCCAGCUGAAGGAGUGAGUGAAUAAUUUGCAGUUAUCUUGAGACCAUUUGCUUUCCUAAGAGAAGUGAUUUACAAAAUGUCCUCCAGAAGCACAGAGAGAAACCAUCUGGCUGUGUUUCUGGGCUUCCGGGUGAUUGUGGAAUUCUGGGAAACUGCAGCCACCCACAGGCUAAGGGGUUCCCAGCCGUCUGGGACAGGCUACUAGGAGGAGACGCCAAUCACCUUUGACCCUCUCACUCCUGGGGAGAAUGCCACCACGUUCCCACUAGACUUUUUCUCCCAUGACCAGGAGAGAGGAGUGGCUUAGGGUAACAAUGACCAUAACUGUGGAAAUAUUGCUCUCACUCUUCCGGUCUACUUCCAUUGUGGCACCAAUCCCUAGGUGUCCAUGCUUGACUAGUAUGACAGCACAGUAUUUGAAAGGGAAAAAGGAGAGAAGAUGAAUGGCUGCCGCCCAGUUGGUAGGCCCUUGUGGACUGUCAUGUGAAAAGUCAUAUUUCCUUCCUCCCUCCUAUAUAAUCUCAAUUCUUCCUUGACCUCUCUGUUCUUCCACUAUGUUCUGGAAAAUAUUCUUUAGGUCUCUGGACAAUAAUAGACUAGCUGUAUAGGUUAUGAAAAAUGUAAUCCCACAUUCCAUUCUCUAAUGUUAAGUUCACUCUAAUUCUGUUGGCAUAAUGAGUUGACUCAAGACAGAGAGCGGUCACACACUCAUACCAGGCAGUCGUGGUUUCUUAGCAACAAAACUAGAAACUGUGUUAAGUAAGUCUUGUUUGUGUCUGGGUUCACGUGUAUCGAGAGCUGUGGUCGCUGUUGAAUGUAGAUGGACAUUUUGUGUGUGCAUUGCUUUCUUCUCUAGACUCCACUGCGGUGUGUUUACCCAACAAAGAGUUUGAAAGGCUGUAA